ensembl:lncRNA novel transcript, sense intronic to RBFOX1
CAGAGAAAAUGGACAACUUAUGGUCUAGAGAUGGCAGCACAGAAAGGAAGGAAUUAAAAAGCAUCCCUCAAAUUGACAAGAAAAUUGGAUAAUAAAUUAACCAUUUACAGUUUGGUAAAUAUAUGCACAACUGAAGUUCCACGUCAUGGGCCAUAUUUUUAUCAGACGCAACACCAGAUGAAGGAUAAACCAUAUGACCCACCCUCUUCUGCCAUGAAUGAACAAUGGACUGAAGUCUUUCAUAAUUGCUUGUUUCAAGAUGCUCACUAAAUCAGACAAGGAACUCCUGUCUUGUGUCUUUAAGGGAGGUUGAACAAUAGGCUGGGACACUGGAGUAAAUGGGGCACUCUGCCAUACUUACACUUUCCUUUGAAAUUUGUGUUUGGGAGGCUUUAACUAUGAGUAUAUUUUGCAGCCAAAUGCAGUUAGCUUUUUGACUAAUGGAGCUGGUGUGAAUUUUACCCCUCCAUCUGUAGAUGCUGAAAUGUCACAUUAUUUCAUUUUUCUAAAACAAAUUAAAUGACUCUGAGCAUCCAGUCAUUAGGGUUUUAAGAAACUCAAUCACAACUAUGAGUAUAGGGAAUGGGGAUGAACAGUAUCCCUUUCCCAUAUGCUAGAUAGACAGUCACCUGUGGAGCUUAGCAGUGCUUCGGAUACAGGGAAGGACAGCUGGUCUUUGAGAUAUUGUGGGCAUUUGGGUGUUAGGAUUCUUAUUACUUAAACCUGCCCAGUCCCUAUAAAAAGGGACCGCUUUGCAAAUUCUGAUCCAUGCAUGGAACAGGAAAUCUUUCUUAAUAUUUAGCUGCUUCAUGCAUUCAAAUCCUUGAAGACCCCCCACAUGCCCUGCACCCUUCUCAGUUCCCUUUCAAUCUUGGGGUAUCUCCCCUUUCUGAGAAUUCACUGCUGUUGCUGACCUCCUCCCACUCAUUUCCUUCCAUCUUCUCUUACUUUCUUAAUACCCCACAUUAUCUCUGCUGACUGUGUCUUUAGACACACAACACUUUUCUUUAAGGAAAGGCAAGGCUGUGUGUUCCUUACCUCAUCAUGUUAUGUUAGAGGUCCAAAUGUUUUAUGGGUGACCAAUUAAUUCAUCAUGUCAUCUGGAUGACUGUUGAAAGCAAAAGCGGGAUCAUUGUAAGAACUGUGUCAGGAAACCAGCAAAACCAGCCCUGUCCCAGGCAAACUGGGAAUUAUGAUCUCUCUCUGGAAGGAAAGAAGAAGAAAAGUGGGAGAGGUAGGCUGUUCUUUUUCCAACAAGAAUCUUGGAAGGCGUUUUCAUUUUGGAAACUGUUUAGAAGACUAUACUAAAUUGUUACUCCUUAUUACCAACAUGCAUAGCAUCCUGCAAUGCAGACAUCCAUGACUGUGCAUCUCCACUGCUUCAAACAGGGCACUAGUGUUCCAAGCUUUGUGUUUCUAUUGCCAGCCCUGAAUGCAAAAAUAUGGGAUCCUGAGUUCAAAUCGGGCUCAGAAGUUGACAUAUUGUUUGACCUUGAGCAAUCUGCUUAAUUUCAUAGUGUUUGUUUGCUCAUCUGAAAACAAAAGGGAUAAUGCUGAUCGAGGCAUAUUGUGGAGAUUAAUUAGUUUCUGAAGUGCUGAGAUCCACAGAUGAAAGGCUUUAAGUGGAAAUUAUUUUGUUUUUAAAGGAAUAAUCGAUGCAUGUGAAUAAAAGAGAACUAACUGAACUGAAUUACAGGCACUUGGCUGCUGGUGGGAGUGGGGGAAGAAAGAAUAUUGCUUCUUGCAAAGAACCUUAAAUUUACCCCCCAGAAUAGCAGUGGGAAAAUUGCUUUUUUUUUGUGAUUCUGAAAGGAUGAGAAAUUAUGCAAAAGAAACGAGCUAGAAUAAGAGGAGAAUAUAUGCAGUUAAGACAUAUUUCAAAGUAACUUUCCUGGAUAAACAACUAGGUAUCUAAUAUAUAUAUUAUGUGUAUUAGAUAUAUAUAUGAUAUAUAUGAUAUAUUAAUGUAUUAGAUAAUGUGUGUGUGUGUAAGUAUGUAUAUACUCCACCAGUCCUCUGUGAUUAGGUUCUUAGCCAAAUGCUUGUCUACCAAAACAGCUCAGCCACGAUCCCCAAGGAGCCUUAAUGACCCCUAAGUCCUUGGUGAAAAGAUCAGUUUGGGAAGGAGAAACUAACUGUUUAAAAAUCUCACAGCUGUGUAUCGUGGUGAGAAAACUAGCACUAUUAAGCGUGUUACUGUUUAAAACCACUUUUGCUCUUGUUACAUUUGGUCUUCUCUCCAAUAAAUAUUAUUAUUGCCCUUGAUGUACAGAUAGGAAAAUGAUAAUCAGGGAAAUUAAAUGGCUGGCCAAUGGCCAUUUGUUUGGUUAGGUGGUAUAGGCAAUAUUCUGACCUCAACAUUAUGACUCACAAGACUCUGACCAUGUCACUGUCACCGAAGGGUUUGCUAAAGAUAUGGUGACAUUCAGCUGGCAUGUGGAAAUGAAUUAUUGUCUAAGGACUACAGAAGAAUUGGAAUGAAGACAGGAUUUUUUUUGUCAAAGAAAAUAAAAAGUUCUGACCAUUAAACGAAUGCGUUUUUGUCAUAGACGUGGUGGAAAAUGCCAACAAAGUCAGAUUUCAAAAUUGGCUCAAAGUCUCCUGAGUCAAAUGAAAACUCUGUCAAAGCCAUGUUAUACUUCUUCUUAGUCUUUUAUCCAUGCAUUUUAAUAAUAUAGUUAUGGUCAUGUUAUCCCAAAUUCUUUUCAAAUGUUGUUUUAAUGGCUCUGUAACUUUCUACCUUGUGACUAUUGCAUGGUUGUUUUGACCUUUUUCUCAUUUUUUGUAGAUAUUUAAGUUCUUACUUUUUUUUUACUUUUAUAAUUAGCUCUGUAAUGAGCUUUUUGUGUGAAAAAACAUAU